AUUGAACGCUGGCGGCAGGCUUAACACAUGCAAGUCGAGCGAAGGCUUCGGUCUUAGCGGCGAACGGGUGAGUAAUACCUAGGAAUCUGCCUAUUAGUGGGGGAUAACGAAUCGAAAGGUUCGCUAAUACCGCAUACGUCCUACGGGAGAAAGGGGGGGAGUCUUCGGACCUCUCGCUAAUAGAUGAGCCUAGGCCGGAUUAGCUAGUUGGUAGGGUAAAGGCCUACCAAGGCGACGAUCUGUAGCUGGUCUGAGAGGAUGGCCAGCCACACUGGAACUGAGACACGGUCCAGACUCCUACGGGAGGCAGCAGUGGGGAAUAUUGGACAAUGGGGGCAACCCUGAUCCAGCCAUGCCGCGUGUGUGAAGAAGGCCUUCGGUUGUAAAGCACUUAAGUCGAGGAGGAAGGGUUUUAGUUUAAGUUAACUACUAAAG
rnacentral:rRNA from 1 species